UGGGGAAUAUUGCACAAUGGGGGAAACCCUGAUGCAGCGACGCCGCGUGGAGGAAGAAGGUCUUCGGAUUGUAAACUCCUGUCUUAAGGGACGAUAAUGACGGUACCUUAGGAGGAAGCUCCGGCUAACUACGUGCCAGCAGCCGCGGUAAUACGAAGGGGGCGAGCGUUGUUCGGAAUUACUGGGCGUAAAGGGUGUGUAGGUGGACGUGUAAGAUAGCGGUGAAAUGCCGGAGCUCAACUUCGGAAUUGCCAUUAUAACUAUGCGUCUAGAAUUAUAGAGAGGAUAGCGGAAUACCCAGUGUAGAGGUGAAAUUCGUAGAUAUUGGGUAGAACACCAGUGGCGAAGGCGGCUAUCUGGCUAUAUAUUGACACUGAGGCACGAAAGCAUGGGGAUCAAACAGGAUUAGAUACCCUGGUAGUCCAUGCCGUAAACGAUGAAUGCUGGUUGUCGGACGAAUGUUCGGUGACGAAGUUAACGCGAUAAGCAUUCCGCCUGGGGAGUACGGCCGCAAGGUUAAAACUCAAAGGAAUUGACGGGGACCCGCACAAGCGGUGGAGCAUGUGGUUUAAUUCGAUGCAACGCGAAGAACCUUACCAACUCUUGACAUCCUCAUCGGGGAGGACAGAGAUGUCUUCUUUCAGUUAGGCUGGAUGAGUGACAGAUGCUGCAUGGCUGUCGUCAGCUCGUGUCGUGAGAUGUUGGGUUAAGUCCCGCAACGAGCGCAACCCCUGCUACCAGUUGCCAUCAGGUAACGCUGGGCACUCUGGUAGGACUGCCGGUGACAAGCCGGAGGAAGGUGGGGAUGACGUCAAGUCAUCAUGGCUCUUACGAGUUGGGCUACACACGUGCUACAAUGGCACCUACAGAGGGAAGCGAGAUCGCGAGGUCGAGCGAAUCUUAAAAAGGUGUCUCAGUUCAGAUUGUACUCUGCAACUCGAGUACAUGAAGUUGGAAUCGCUAGUAAUCGCGGAUCAGCAUGCCGCGGUGAAUACGUUCCC
rnacentral:rRNA from 1 species